rnacentral:rRNA from 1 species
AUUGAACGCUGGCGGCAGGCCUAACACAUGCAAGUCGAACGCGUGGCGGACGGGUGAGUAAUGUCUGUGACACUCCCUUAUGGAGGGGGUUAACUCCUGGAACCGGUAGCUAUUACCGCAUACCAUCGCAUUUGCCCAGAUGGGAUUAGCUAGUAGGUGGGGUAACGGCUCACCUAGGCGACGAUCCCUAGCUGGUCUGAGAGGAUGACCGGCCACACUGGAACUGAGACACGGUCCAGACUCCUACGGGAGGCAGCAGUGGGGAAUAUUGCACAAUGGGCGAAAGCCUGAUGCAGCCAUGCCGCGUGUAUGAAGAAGGCCUUCGGGUUGUAAAGUACUUUCAGCGGGGAGGCGUUACCCGCAGAAGAAGCAACGGCUAACUCCGUGCCAGCAGCCGCGGUAAUUC